rnacentral:lncRNA from 1 species
UGCCUGCUCUCAGCCAAUCCUCACACCAUCCCAGGUGGUGGGAAUAGAGUGAUUCCCAGUAUACAGCUCUGGAGGUGGAGGCAUGAAGUCUAUCUCCAACACCUUGGGUGUUAUAAUUUUGUAAAAUGGUUGGGCAGGAAAGAAGGACUCUUGCAAAAAGAUCAGGGUCAUUUCUAGGGUGACCAAUUUGGCCAGCAAGUUUACCUGGGGUUUUCUAGUUGUAGCGCUGACCAAAGUCCUGCAUCCUAGGAGCCCCCCUCGGUCCUGGGCAAACCGGGACGGUUGGUGAGCAUAUUUCUAAAGGCCCAAGGAGCACACACAAGAUGCCUUGAGCAGCGCCCUCCACCUCCAAGGAAGCAACUGGAACAACACCGAGCUUCCCUGGAGACCCCAACUGGCUCCCACCUGCCCCUGCUGCGGCAGCAGGACAGCGCACAGGAAGGCCUCCUGGGCAGGCCGGCAUCCACGCCCUUCAUCGCCCCGCCCUGAGCGAGGAGCCCUCCUGCCCGCACACUGCUCUGCUUGAGCCACGGCCUCUGAAGAACAGAAAUAUCUGUGAGAAAUUUUACCUUAAAGAAGCUAAAUAGCAAGACGACGUGGUUAAGUGACAAAGGGAAGAUUUGAACCCAGGUCUGUCCAACUCCCACGCCCAUGAAAAUAAAUAGAGCACUCCAUAAGAAGCUCCACCCAAGUUCAACUCGCUCUGUCCUCAUAGGGACCAAGUCACAGAACGUGUUACAGCUCCAGGGGCAGUCACCCAAGAGACAGAAAGAUGCGAGACAGGUGGGACCGCUAUGCUGGGACUGAACAGGGACUGUGGAGGCCACAGAGAAGCUCAGGAUCACACUAAACCAAGCCCAGUUUGAAAAUUCCCAGGGAAACUGCAGAACUUAUUGUGUUGCCAAAGUAGGACACGCCCUGCUGAGGGCUGAUGAGCUGGGACUGGCUUCAUCCUCAGCAUGAAGAUUCAGUAGUGGAUGGAAAAACAUAGGUCAUGCACAGGACCCAGAGAUGCCACAGAACCUACUCCUUAAAAGGUCCCUAAAUACAGAACAGUGUUUUGUGUCUGCCAAAGUUAGUUAAAGGGUGAAUUUGUCUAUUUACAUUACAAAGGUCUAAUUUUCAUGGUAUAUAAAGAGUUUCUACAAAUCAACAAGAAAAUGGCCAACAACUAAAAAUAAAUCAAAGGCUAUAACCAAAAAAGGAGAUGCAAAUUACUUUUAAACAUGACAAAAAGAUACUUAAUCUCAGUCAUAAAAAUAGAAAUGCAAACUGAAACUACCAUGAGAUACCAUUUUUAAUCUUUCCGAUUAGGAAAAAUAAAAAAGUGGAAUAACAUAGUGUUGGCAAGAGUUGGGGAAACAGACAAGCUCAUACAUUGUUGGUGGGAGUGUAAACACAUGUAGCCUGACUGGAUGGCACUAGAUAGUAUUGUCCAAAAUUAAAAGUGCACAUAUUCUUGGACCCUGCAAUUUGACUAUAAGAUAUACUUGCAAGUGUGUGAAGAGACAAAUCUACACUAAGGAAUUGGAUGUAAUUGCAAAAGACUGCUAACAAACUAAAUGUCCAUCCAGAGGGAACUAAGUAACUUAUGCUAUCCUCACACAAUGGAACGCUCUGCAGCCACUAAAAAUUGAAGAAGGAAGUU